AAUUCCCGUGCUUUCCAUCUACGAUUCUCUCUUCUAUCUCUCUCUUUCUCGCAAAACACAGCAUGCGAAACCGACGAGAUUUCUCAGAAAUUGAAAGCAAACGGAGAAGAAAUCGUUAUCUCCGACUACUCGAUCCAUCCUGAUCAUCAUCUCCACCGACGCGGGACACUCCCUGAAGCAAUCCACGAGUUUCCCUGAAGCAAUCCGCGAGUUUCCCUGAAGCAAUCCGUGACUUUCCUUCACCAAAUCGGCGUGAAACCUUCACAAACUCUUUCUCAUGAAAGACACAGACCCUCUUAGGCGCCACCACCCGCCAUAUACAAGAAAGAGACUCCCCACGUUCUGCCUUGGAGAAUCAUUCCGAGUGAGAAAUGAGUAAGCUGAUUUGACUGUAAAACAUAUUUUGUAGAAAUAUGCUACAGUUGAGUUGGAUAUGUUUUUUGAUAUUAUUUUACUUUCUUUUUCACUUAAAAGUUACAUAGUAAUUAUGAAUGUAAUUGUGAAACUCCCUAAAUUAUGUAGUUGUCCCAGGAUUAAUCAAUGGUUUUACAUAAAGUCUUGAGUAUGAGUUCCAAA